AGAGAGAGAGAGAUGGAGCAAAGGCGUAAACACAGAAUAACGUGACCGGAACUGAGUCUCCACAACUUUUUUACAUCGUGGCGACCAAAACUGAAUGCAAUAUUCCACUCUCUCUCACACAAAACUCUAACCAACUAAGACCAACACAAACCAAGUUUUGUAUGAUGUGGGAAUGCAACCGACUUGGUAAAAAGACCUGCAUGAACAAAGCCUAUGCCCCCAAAGCAGAGAGAAGUAGCAGCAGACUAUUUGCCAAAAGAACCUUUAGAAAACUUGCACCCAUUGGCAUUUAAGUUCCUCCUAACCAGAUCUCCAUCUAAUAGGCAUGUGCAUAUUUGAUACAACUGCAAGAUGGGAAAAAAGAUUGCCUAUGUGAUUGGUAUUGAUAGGCGGCAUGCUGGCUUCAGAGGGUACAGGCAGCCAAAAACUGAAUCACAUCUUUGUUAAAAAGGAAGAUGAAAGGUUUGGUAUUGUGGAUCAAUAA